rnacentral:rRNA from 1 species
GAUGAACGCUGGCGGCGUGCCUAAUACAUGCCAGUCGAGCGAACAGAUGAGGAGCUUGCUCCUCUGACGUUAGCGGCGGACGGGUGAGUAACACGUGGAUAACCUACCUAUAAGACUGGGAUAACUUCGGGAAACCGGAGCUAAUACCGGAUAAUAUAUUGAACCGCAUGGUUCAAUAGUGAAAGACGGUUUUGCUGUCACUUAUAGAUGGAUCCGCGCCGCAUUAGCUAGUUGGUAAGGUAACGGCUUACCAAGGCAACGAUGCGUAGCCGACCUGAGAGGGUGAUCGGCCACACUGGAACUGAGACACGGUCCAGACUCCUACGGGAGGCAGCAGUAGGGAAUCUUCCGCAAUGGGCGAAAGCCUGACGGAGCAACGCCGCGUGAGUGAUGAAGGUCUUCGGAUCGUAAAACUCUGUUAUUAGGGAAGAACAAAUGUGUAAGUAACUAUGCACGUCUUGACGGUACCAAAUCAGAAAGCCACGGCUAACUACGUG